CUGGCGGCAUGCUCAUACAUGCAAGUCGAACGAUAAGGUCUCUUCGGAGAUACAUAAGUGGCGGACGGGUGAGGUAAUAUGUAGGAAAUCUGCCCUUGAGAGGGGGACAACAGAGGGAAACUUCUGCUAAUACCCCAUAUGAGCGUACCUGAAAUGGUAUUCUUGAAAACUCCGGUGCUCAAGGAUGAGCCUGCAUCUGAUUAGCUUGUUGGCGGUGUAAUGGACCACCAAGGCGACGAUCAGUAGCUGGUUUGAGAGGAUGAUCAGCCACAAUGGGACUGAGACACGGCCCAUACUCCUACGGGAGGCAGCAGUAGGGAAUUUUGCGCAAUGGGCGAAAGCCCUGACGCAGCAAUGCCGCGUGAACGUAGAAGCCCUUCGGGGUGUAAAGUUCUGUCAGUGGGGACGAAUUUUGACGGUACCCACAGAGGAAGCACCGGCUAACUCCGUGCCAGCCGCGGC
rnacentral:rRNA from 1 species